CCUAAAAUUUGGGAUUUACCUGGAGGGAAAAAAAAUCCCCCAAAUUUGGGAUUUUUCUGAUGGAGGAAAAUAUGAAAAAAUUGGGGGGAAAAUUCCUAAAAAUUGGGAAAAAAAUCCCAAAAAUUUGGGGGAAAAAUUCCCCCAAAUUUGUCCUAAAUUUAAGGGGGGGGGGGAGGGGACAGAGCCCUUCAGCCCCUGGGGACAGGUGACAAUGGCAGGUGCCACCAGGUGUGCCCAGGUGCCACCAAACCUGUCCAGAUGCCACCUCAGGUGUGCCCAGGUGCCACCUCACCUGUCCAGGUGCCACCAGCACACAGAAAUGACCGAUGUCACCUCAGUGCCACCUCCUGUCCCCUUCCUAUGCUGUGCCCAGAUGCCACCAGGUGUGCCCAGGUGCCACCAGGUGCCACUGACACUCUGCCACAACGUCCUGUCCUCUCCUGGCGUUGUCCCCAGGUGCCACCAGGUGUGUCCAGCUGUCCCCAG